GUAUUUGCUUUGGCAACCCAUAUACUAAAAUUGGAAUGAUACAAAGAAGAUUAGCAUGGCCCUGAGCCAGGAUGACAUGCGAAUUUGUGAAGAUUCCACAGUUUUA
ensembl:snRNA U6 U6 spliceosomal RNA